UUCUCUGCUUCCUCCAUUUCAGCUUGACAUCUCCUCAAACGCUACCUGACAGCCUGCCGCCAUCACCCGUGAAUCAGGUUCGUCCCACAUACUAGAGCUGACAAACGCCAUAUUCACGCCAAGGAAUUUUGAAAGCAAAUAUGUCACAUCAGUGAUGAUGAUGACGACGACGACGAUGGUCAGAAAAUGAUUAGGAAAGAACGCCCUGGCAGGCUUUGUUGCUAGAAUCUGCUCAUGGGCAAAUGGCAAAGCUAUUCACAUGGAAGACAUUAAACCAUCAACACCGUAGUAUUCCUGUUUGAUCUGAGCCUGGGGUCACUGUGUCAGGACUGCCAGUGAAGAAGAGAAAGUAACUCACAAAGAAAAAUGACACGUUCUCCGGGAUCACACAGGGUAUCCAGUGCACACAACUGAGGAUUCCUCUCCUGCCAGCCCUUACACUGAAUCUGUGAAUGUGGCUAUUCUGAGAUUACCACCAUAUCAAGCUUGAGCAUCCUUUCUUACACUCAGCUCUGUUUCUAGCUCAUCUUGCCUCUCACAGUGCAACUAAGAGCAAGCUCCGUACGCUGCUUUCACCAUGCCUUAAGGAAACCGUCCACGGCCCUGCUCAUCUGCCCGCUGAAGUCGACUGAGGUCAUCCAUGGUGGGGAAUGAGAUCUGCUUCUUCCUCCACUCGUGUGCACCUUAGCUUUGCAGCCCCCCUCCCCUGCUGCCUUCUUUGGGUGCUUGGUAGAAUGCCGACUCCAGUUGACCAUAAAUUUCCACCCCUUGAUCACAGAGACGUCCCCAUUCAUAGACUGAUGCCCUGUUUAUCAUAAGGGGUCACUAAAUAUUUGCUAAAUGAGUGAAUGAAAUUAUUUCACCAAGGAUACACUGAAAGACUUAAAUCUUCCACAUUUUCCAAAAAUGUUCUUCUUUUUUUUUUAAUGAGAAACAUCUGAAUAGGGAUUCUUAUGAUUUGUUUGUUAUAUUUUAUGUUUUUUUUAACUUAUGUAUUUAUUUGCUAUGUUGAGGGUUGAACCCAUCGCCUCCAGCUUGCUAGGCAAAUCCUCUUCCACGGAACAACAUCCCCAUGCCCAAAACUUGCUGUGUUUUAAAGUUGCCAUCUGUCAAGUCAGGGUUUUAAAUGUCUAUGAAGCAAUUGCAUUUAACUCUGCUAUUCAAAGAUAAUAACAGAAUUUAUAGAAAUUUCAUUCUUAGUGUUGGGACACCAACUUAACAUAGGGUGGCAAAUGACUCUUUGCUCUGGCCAGUUGAUGCCUUGCUGCGACAAAAGUAUUAAGGUGUCAGAGGCUCCUCCCGCAUGGGACCCAGAGACUGAGGCUCUGCUAUCUGCUGCAAGCUGUAAGACACUACAUGCUUGCAUUCCCUUCCUUCCUAUCAAGGUACUCACCAUAUGCCCAACCUGGCCUUCAAAGAUUCAACCCAGUCCUCCCCUCCCAUGCUUUCAUAGGACUCCCUAGGCACAAAAUUUUUCUCAUUGGUGCAACUUCCCAUAACAAUUUAACAUGUUAAGAUAUGAUUUGUCCUAUGCAUGUUUGGUGUACUGAUCUUCACUGGUUUAUGAGAGAAGGGUCCAUCAUCCAUCUCUCUGAGCUCAGUCUGCCUCCUGCUUUGUAGCACUGAAUGCCCACAGAUGCUCACAGCAUACUUUCUUAAAUAAAUAAACAGCUCUGUCAAUGCAGGUAGAAAUAACAGAUGGCUGGCGUGUUGGCAUGAGGCAUGAGACUGCCUGGCCUGUUAGUGAAGCAGGCGAGAGGGGCAGUUCGCAUCUGUUGGAGGGUUAGCAGGGGAAGGCUGCAGAUACGGAGGUAGGCGGGGCUGAGGAAGGCUGUAGAUUUGGAGGUAGGUAGGGCUGGGGAUUGGAGUGGUAUGGGUACAUUGCUGGGAUUCAAAGCAACUCUGCCUCUUGUUUCUCAUCCCAGGCAACUAGAGGUGUUUUUUUUCCUAUAUCACAGCUCGGUAUUAAGACCAAAGGAGAAAUGAACUUUGAAGUGGUGGCCCCAUUGUUGUAGAUAGCAAUAUUGUUCUACAUACUCAUUUGUGGUUCGUGUUGCUCACAUGAACAUUCGGACUCACAUCUGCCACAGACCCGUAAUGAGUUAUAAACUGAGAAACCUGAGCGUCAUACCUUUUCCUAUUCCUCAUAUUUCCAAGGCUGGAGUUCUCAGACUAUUGGACACAGCUGGGCAAUCAAGAGGACUUGAAAAAGAACACUAAUCUAUUUGAUAAGAGGCCCACCCCACGGCCUGACCACCUCCCAAGGGCUCUCCGACGGGUGACAUUUCAUCUCAUGGAAGGAACUCGAACUUUCAGUCACUGUGAUUCUUCUGGCUGUUGUCCCCUGGUUUGUUAGACUCUUGUCAUCAGCACCGAGUUAACCGGUGUGACUUUACGAAGUGACAUGUCAUGACUAGGCAGAAGCUUCCAAUGAGUGCACGAAUUUUUCUUCUAUAAAAAAUGGAAUAUCUCAAACAUCAAGCAGGAGUACUCGGUCCAUGCUUGGAUAGUGACAAGGGCUCAGUGGAAACCAUUAGGGCAAGUGUACAAUGACCUAGGUUCUAACUUCCUCAUUUGCACUGGCUUGUCUUAAUGGGAAAAGCCACAUCCCUGGACUCGCUGAGGUGGUCUGUCAGAUGUGAUAACCUGGCUAGGAGCGGGAAACACAAGUUUCAACUGAAAUCUGCUCCAGAUUUUAAUCAUGGUCAUGGGCCCUUUUCUGGGGCUAUUUCACUACAGAUAAUUGUUAAAAUUUCUUCCAGUUUAAAGAAGUUUCUGUAUCUAUAGUCAAGGAAAUUCUGGAAUCUUUCUUAUAAGUGAGUAUCAGUAACGUCACUUGCAGAACAGGGCUGCCAGGAGCCUCAGCUUCUUGCUCAUUGCUGUCUUCACAGGGCUAAGGUUAAUCCUCAGCCUUGGCCAGCCUUCUAGGUAAUGGCGUUUUUAUAGGAUCUUGAAAGAUGACUCUUUAAAAUUAUUUUAUUUCCUCUAACUUAAGGUCACAGUGCUCUUGGCCAGAAGGAAACAGUCAUUUCCUAGGAAAAGGGAAACCACACUUCCUGGGGAUGUGACUGCCUCUUUGGCUGCCAGCUACUCCUUUGACUGUAAGGGCAGAAAAUAAAAAGCAGGUGCCAUCUGAAGGGAAUGAUCCAGGCUAUGGCUCUCAGUAGGCAGAGCUCAGGCUGAGAAGCAAAGCCCAGGCUGGCUUCCAGCCAGGUGACCCUGUCACUCAUUCCUCUAGGUUUGGAUUUCCCCAUAUGUGCCAAUAAAGGAUCUGCAAACCCCUGU
rnacentral:lncRNA from 1 species